CCUCAGCUGGUUGUACUCACCAAGGUGGAUGAAGCUUGUCCCUUAGUGAAAGAGAAUCUGACAAACAUUUAUAGGAGUGCCUACAUUAAGGAGAUUAUGCAGGAGGUCAGCUCUAAGCUCGGCAUGCCGCUGUCCUGCAUUGUUCCAGUGAGGAACUACGUAGAGGAACUGGAUCUGGACCUGAACUCUGACGUCCUGCUGCUCAGCGCCGUCAUCCAGAUGCUCUGGUUUGCUGAUAACUACUUUGAUGAAAUCAGCGACCAACUUGGGAACCUUCGAACCAAAGAAUGAGGGUCAGCUGGCCAACUGCUGGUUCCAUUAGAAUGAUGAUUGGGGUUUUUAGCUUCUUGAAAAAAUAAAAUGGAUUACCUUCUAUAUGUAUAUCUUUGCUAAAAUUAAAAUGUAAAAAAGCCAAACAUGUAAUUCUAACCAUCACCAUGUCAGUUAGCAUUACUGCAGCUCAGCUUCCGGGAGAAAUGUUUUUUAAAUGCUCUCCAAACUGGUGAAUCCUAUGAAGUCCCAUUGUGACCAGAACUCUUCGACAUAUAAUGCUUUGGAACAAAACAAACACCCAACCAUCAUCUCCUCUAUUAUUGGAGCAACAAUUAAAUCUGUGUGUUUUCUUAAAACUAGAACUAAAAAUAUAUUCAUCAA